rnacentral:rRNA from 1 species
UACGAAGGGGGCUAGCGUUGUUCGGAAUUACUGGGCGUAAAGCGCACGUAGGCGGGUCGUUAAGUCAGGGGUGAAAUCCCAGAGCUCAACUCCAGAACUGCCUUUGAUACUGAGGAUCUUGAGUACGGGAGAGGUGAGUGGAACUGCGAGUGUAGAGGUGAAAUUCGUAGAUAUUCGCAAGAACACCAGUGGCGAAGGCGGCUCACUGGCCCGUUACUGACGCUGAGGCACGAAAGCGUGGGGAGCAAACAGG